rnacentral:rRNA from 1 species
CGGCAUGCCUUACACGAUGCAAGUCGAAACGGCAAGCACGGGAGCAAUCCUGGUGCGAGUGGCGAACGGGUGAGUAAUAUAUCGGAACGUGCCCGGUCGUGGGGGAUAACGUAGCGAAAGCUACGCUAAUACCGCAUACGAUCUACGGAUGAAANCGGGGAUCGCAAGACCUCGCGCGAUUGGAGCGGCCGAUAUCAGAUUAGGUAGUUGGUGAGGUAAAGGCUCACCAAGCCGACGAUCUGUAGCUGGUCUGAGAGGACGACCAGCCACACUGGGACUGAGACACGGCCCAGACUCCUACGGGAGGCAGCAGUGGGAAUUUUGGACAAUGGGCGCAAGCCUGAUCCAGCAAUGCCGCGUGCAGGAUGAAGGCCUUCGGGUUGUAAACUGCUUUGUACGGAACGAAACGGUGAGCUCUAAUACAGUUUGCUAAUGACGGUACCGUAAGAAUAAGCACCGGCUAACUACGUG